UACAGAGGGUGCGAGCGUUGUCCGGAAUCACUGGGCGUAAAGGGCGCGUAGGCGGUUCCCUAAGUGUGUGGUGAAAGCUCGGGGCUCAACCCCGAGUCGGCCGUGCAAACUGGGGAACUCGAGCAUGUCAGAGGCAGGCGGAAUUCCGGGUGUAGCGGUGGAAUGCGUAGAGAUCCGGAAGAACACCGGUGGCGAAGGCGGCCUGCUGGGACGGUACUGACGCUGAGACGCGAAAGCGUGGGGAGCGAACAGG
rnacentral:rRNA from 1 species